GCGGCGGUUCGUUUGAGCUGCUUGCUUGCUUAAAGUGAUAUGAGUUUUCGAGUGGAGAACUUCGGUUCGUGUUUGCAGGAACGGCAGCAACAACAACACUUUAUUUCGGAUCGACAUAUCCCUGACGAUGCCACACCGAUCCGGCCCAACCGACCACCCAGCAGCGAUGCGUAGCCAUGGCUGCCAGUUCGGCACGGCACAUUUCCGCCCCUGCCUAGGAGAGACACGGAUGGAAAGCGCUCGCCUUUGUUGCAA